CAGUUAUAGUACAGCUAAAGCUGAAACAGAUCAGGGACUUCAUGAACCACUUCAGAUGAACCAGGUUUGAAUUUGCCAUAUGUUAAUGUUUCAUAUUCUCUUGUACUGCAGCAUAAGGUCAAACCACAGUUCUAACACCCCACCAGGCAGCAGAUGUUUGAGUAUUGUUCACUGCUCAACAUGGUCAUGAAAAACCUGGAACUGGAUCCAUGGAAUUUUAAAAUGUCAUUGUUCAAGACUGGAUAAGUCCCCAUGUUGUGGUGUAAUUAGCCAUUUUCAGAUCAAAGUAGUCGCCUAUAAAAUCAUUGUGUAGAGCAAUUGACAUUUUAAAGCAAAAUGUUAAGAAUAUGGUCGCAAAAAGAUAAUAGAUGAACUAGAACUAAUUACUGAAUGUUAAAUUCAAAGCUAGCAUUCAUAAAUGUGAAUCCAGAGCUCAUGCUAUAGCACUGGAUUGUCUGAUACAAUGCUGUGAAAUUCAGACUAUGUAGAAGACAAAGUUGAGGUUGAGUAAAUGCAGUAUUCACAUUUCAUCUAUUCCCUCUGUUGGUUCUAAGCAUUAUUAAAAAAAAAAAAAACAUAACAUGUACAGAAGUAUUCACAGUGUUUGCGUAAUACUUUGUCGAUGCACCUUUGGCAGCAAUUUCAGCCUCAAGUCUGUUUGACUGAUGCCACCAGCUUGGUACACCUAUGUUUGGGCAGUUUCUCCCAUUCUUCUUUGUAAAACCUCUCAAGCUCCAUUGGGUUAGAUGGGGAGCAUCUGUGCACAGCCAUUUUCAGAUCUCCAGAGAUAUUCAAUGGGGUUCAAGUCUGGGCUUUGGCUGGGCCACUCAAGGACAUUCACAGAGUUGUCCCAAAACCACUGCUUUGUUAUCUUGGCUGUGCUGGGUGAUGAGCGGUGCAUGAUGCUGCCACCACCAUUUUUCACUGUAGGAUGGUGUUGGGCAGGUGAUGAGCGGUGUAUGAUGCUGCCACCACCAUUUUUCACUGUAGGAAGGUGUUGGGCAGGUGAUGAGCGGUGCAUGAUGCUGCCCCCACCAUGCUUCCAAACUUCUUCCAUUUAUGGAUGAUGGAGGCCACUGUGCUCAUUGAGACCUUCAAUGCUGCACUUCCCAGAUCUAUGCCUCAACACAAUCCUGUCUCUGACAUCUACAGAUAAUUCCUUGGACUUCAUGACUUGGUUUGUGCUCUGACAUGUACUGUCAACUAUCAGACCUUAUAUAGAUAGGUGUGUGUCUUUCCAAAUCAUGCUCAGUCAACUGAAUCUACUACCACAGGUGGAAACCGGAUGCACACUGAGCUCAAUUUUGAGUGUCAUAGCAAAUGCAGUGAAUACUUAAUGUACAUAUUAUAUUUUUCUCUUGUAUAUUUAAUACAUUUGCACACAUACAUACACUUCAAACUUUUUCACUUUGUCAUUAUGAGGUAUUAUGUGUAGAAUUUUGAGGUAAAAUGAACUUAAUCUAUUUUAGAAUAGGCUGUAAUACAAGCAAAAUGUAAAAAAAAAAAAAAAAAAAAAAGGGUAGCGCUGUGAAUACUUUCCGGAUGUGCUUUAA